UUCUGAAAAAUAAAAUCUGAGUUAGUGCAGCUGGCGUAAUAACCUUCUGCUAGAAGAACGGUAAUGAAGCGUCGUUCGGCCAUCACGAGCUGUGUGUGAACGAUCGACAGAAAUGUGUUGCCGGGAAAUGGGUCUGCGAUGGGCGGUGCUAUGCUUUUACGCUGUGUAAUCCUGCGCGGUUUUUUCCAUGGUCUUUUAUUUCCUGAUCAUAGCACGUUUCAGACCUGAUCUGCUAGCGACAAUAUAGUAUUGUUGCAAAACAUUGUUCAUGGAACAUAAGGCUCUUUGGCGGGAGCCUUCCGGUGGGUUAAGAAGUCCUAAAAGGAGCCAGGGUUGUGGAACAGUAUGGGGUUUCACACAAGAUUCUGUCUAUCACGGUUGAAGAUUGUUCUCCCCACUAUACAUAUGCCCACAGGCUCAGACAUGUUGGAGUCCUUGUACAAAAACACAGAAACCUGCGUCCUGACCUGUUUACCUGCCCCGUAGAUUCUAUCUCCGCCUAACCCUGCCUGUGUUGUUGCCCUUACGGACGGGUUACCCGGAACGCCGACCUACCUGCCUGCCCCUGGAUACUCUUACCGUCUCUCCCUGCCUGUGCUGUUGCCUCCGCGGACUGAUCUCCCGGCUUUCUGACCUGCUUGCCUGCUUCUGGGUUUCUCGUUCCUGUCCAUUCCUGCCUGUGCCUUCGCCUUCGAGGACUGAUCUCCUGGUUACCGAACUAUCUGCCUGUCUUUACCGUUCUUGUGCUUGCCUACUCCCUUGUAAGAAAGAAAAAUAAAUCUACAGUUGCACUUCUGCAAUUGGACCCACA